UACGGAGGGGGCGAGCGUUAUUCGGAAUUAUUGGGCGUAAAGGGCGCGUAGGCGGCUUGAUGUGUCAAAGGUGAAAUCCCUCGGCUCAACUGAGGAACUGCCUUUGAAACUGUCUGGCUUGAGGCCGGGAGAGGGUAGCGGAACUCCCAGUGUAGCGGUGAAAUGCGUAGAUACUGGGAGGAACACCGGUGGCGAAGGCGGCUACCUGGACCGGUUCUGACGCUGAUGCGCGAAAGCGUGGGUAGCAAACAGG
rnacentral:rRNA from 1 species